CAAGCUGCGGCACUAAAAUGACUUCCGCGUUGGGUUUCCUGGAACCUCUCGUUCCCCGUUCUCACCAGCUGCCUUCACCCUAUAAACUUGAUUUAAUUCAGUAAAGCAUAUAAAGCAUAUGGCUCAGUGCCAGCCACGAGGGAGGCCCCAAACGCCUGGCACCUGCUCUGCUCAUUUUCUCAAGAGAAAAACGAAGCUUGGUGAAUAGGCAUUGCAGAAAGGCCACUUGAGGAUGCAGCAAGAUGGUGACAUCUGCAACCCAAGAAGACAGCCCCACCAUGCUGGCAUCCUAAUGUUGAACUUCAAACCUACAGGGCUGUGAGGGAAUAAAUUUCUGUUGUUU